rnacentral:rRNA from 1 species
GAGUUUGAUCGUGGCUCAGAGCGAACGUUAGCGGCGGGCCUAACACAUGCAAGUCGAGCGAGAAAAGGGCUUCGGCCCUUAGUAAAGCGGCGGACGGGUGAGUAACACGUAGGUAAUCUUCCCUUGAGCGGGGGACAACGAGGCGAAAGCCUCGCUAAUACCGCAUAAGUUCCAGAGGACCCCGGUCUUCUGGAGGAAAGCUAGGUAGCAAUAUCCGGCACUCGAGGAGGAGCCUGCGUCGCAUCAGCUAGUUGGUGGGGUAACGGCCUACCAAGGCGAAGACGCGUAGCUGGUCUGAGAGGAUGAUCAGCCACACUGGGACUGAGACACGGCCCAGACUCCUACGGGAGGCAGCAGUGGGGAAUAUUGGACAAUGGGCGCAAGCCUGAUCCAGCCACGCCGCGUGAGUGAUGAAGGCC